UUUUUUCUGCUUGUAGUGCCAGUAGGCUGUCUCGAGGGCCUCUUCGACAGCCCCAGCCCGUUAGUGUCACAGGCAAAUUUUGUUUAUAGUGGCAUGAUAACCAUUACACCACAAAAGAGUGAGGUUUAUUCCGAGGAGGGUGUAUGCAAAUAAAGGGGUGUAGAGCAGCUAGAGACCGCGGGGCAGAUGAUGCAUGUAGCUGCUUGACUUGCCCUAACAUCCUAUUUCCCAAUUGAACAUGUGGCAGGGACUUUGGGAAGCCCACGAGUGACAGUGACUUCACCAUUCUUACACUGCAGUCGUCUGGAAAUUACCCCAUAUGCAGCCUUGAAACAUUACUUUCUACUGAAUUAAUUAUGCUUCAGUGACCUCUGCAGGCAAUAAAAUUACAAAGGAAAUUAUCUUUGGGGGAAAAAAAUAAUGGCCGAAUCAAGUUGAGACUGUUGGAUAAGAAGAGAAAAAAAAAAAAGUAGCCAUGCCCAGAUGGAAUGUGCAGAUCUAGAGUGUCUGUUAGAGGUGCAUCAUUAGGUGGCUGCCUUGCGUGAUAAAGUGCCAUGUAGCCCUGUGGUCCGUUUUAUUAUUAUGUACUAGCCAGUAGUGUUGGAGGGGGCACAGUCUACUUGCUUUACACGUGGAUCAAUAAUAAUAGUAACUGUUGUCAGAUGUUCAAAAUAAUUUUGGUUUGCUAAUCCCCUCGAACUGUUGAAAUUAACCUAUGUUGAUUAAUUGACUGAUGGUUUAUUGUUGUAAAGCUACACGACAAAGAAGAGGAGGAACAUGCCAUCCCGGCCUCAAGGGCCAAUACAAAGUGUGAUCUGCAGCAAUACAAGAAACAUACGUAUACAAUAUUUAUAUCACUAUGCAGUGGAAAAAUUAAGUUAUCCAAUUUCACCCAGAUUUCGUAAUGAGCCUUCCAGUAAAGGACGAUUAUAGCCUACGUUGACCGCAGAUUUCGGUUUUAUCGUUGGCCUAUGAAUAUUGCGCGAAACUGCACUUACUGAACAAAACUUGAUAAACAAUAUAAUCGCUAGUAAAGUCAAUUCAUGAACUGCAAAAAUGCAUUUCAUGAUAAGAUGUCAAAAUCUCAAUAAUUGUAGUCACUCAAUCAGUCAGUCACUUAGUCAGCCAGUCACUUAGUCAGCCAGUCACUCAGUCAGUCAAUCAAUCAGUCAGUCACUCAGCCAGCCAGUCGGUCCUAAUUGUUCCACGAGUUCGAACACCAGCCGUUCCGAAGCCCAAUCCAAACCAACCGAACCGUGCGUGCGCAGCACUUAUACUUCCUUAAUUUCUUGGUGAAAUAUACUUAUUACUCAUUUCAUAUUAUUUUGGGCAUAGAUCUUACUACAAAUAGAUCAUUCUACGGUUGAGAGUUUUCUGCUCACUUCGAUGGUUGGGAUGUUGGCAGACACAGACGCCAUUAUCAGCUUGUGACAGCAACCACCCUCAAGAAACAGCUGUCUGGCAAGAGGUCCCUUUCCCACACUCCAGUUACAUCAUUAUAUAGCAAAAACUCUUGAACAUCCUUCGCAUUUGGAGAUGAUCUAGAGGCCGUGGUUCCAUGAUCUACCUACCCAGGCCCCUGAAUUACUGAAGAAGACAGCUACAGAAACAGGCGUGUUAGAAUCCACUGGUGUAGUGGGCCCCAUGUUCCUGCCAUGGCAGGUCUGGUGCUAGUAAAUUGUAUGGAGCACCUGGAGGCAUUAUUCAAUAAAUCACAGGUGACGGUAUAACAAGGCUGCCCUGCACACCACUCGAGGAAUUGAAGUUGCCUCCUAAUGGAUCACAGAUGGUCAGUGUAAUGUACAAACUAUGGCUAUCUUCUUAAGGUGAAUAUACGUAAGUCGUUUUAGCAUGUAUUAUGCAGUGAUCUACUCUUUCAUAACUGUCUUUCAUAAGUACAGAAAAAAACUCAUUUUUUAAUGUAAGACAAGAAGUAACAAAUAGUAACCAAAAAGUAUCUGAGAAUUACAAAGAUAUGAGCCAUGAUUAUGAAAUAUGAAAUUAACAAACAAGUGAUAUGAUAUACACUACAAAAAUAAAUGAUGAUAAUUCCCUGAAUAGCACACUAAAUGAUAUGCAUAAUUCUUAUACUAAACCUAACAACAAAAAUAACAAAAACCUUCAUAAGUGUACACACUACUUAUUUAUCAGUCAGUUCAACAGUUACUGCAGAGCUUCUUUGGAGGUCAGUGAUAAAUAACUUACCCUUUUAACGAUUAUGACUAUCAACUUUAAUCCUUAAUAACUUACUGAAACAGCAGAAUGGCACAUCAGUAUAAAGUAAAUGUGUAAUG